rnacentral:snoRNA from 1 species
GUAUCCCCUUUCACUUUGCCAAUUGGACUUAUGUCUUUGUUGGUCAUUCAAGUGGGGCAAAGGAAAUCUCCAUUUAAAACUCAAGCAAAAACUGAGUGUUUGUCCUGCAACCUGUCAUGGAAAAUAAAU